GCUGAGGAGUCCCAUAAUAGGACGAAAUGGCCGUCCAGUGC
rnacentral:hammerhead_ribozyme from 1 species